ACUCCUACGGGAGGCAGCAGUGGGGAAUAUUGCGCAAUGGGCGAAAGCCUGACGCAGCAACGCCGCGUGUGGGAUGACAGCUUUCGGGUUGUAAACCACUUUCAGUGACGACGAAAAUGACGGUAGUCACAGAAGAAGGUCCGGCCAACUACGUGCCAGCAGCCGCGGUAACACGUAGGGACCAAGCGUUGUCCGGAUUUAUUGGGGCGUAAAGAGCUCGUAGGCGGUUCCGUAAGUCGGAUGUGAAAACUCAGGGGCUCAACCCUGAGACGCCAUCUGAUACUGCGGUGACUAGAGUCCGGUAGGGGAGCAUGGAAUUCCUGGUGUAGCGGUGGAAUGCGCAGAUAUCAGGAGGAACACCAAUGGCGAAGGCAGUGCUCUGGGCCGGUACUGACGCUGAGGAGCGAAAGCAUGGGGAGCAAACAGGAUUAGAUACCCUGGUAGGAUAGCG
rnacentral:rRNA from 1 species